UCGGGAAUUUUGGGCAAUGGGCGAAAGCCUGACCCAGCAACGCCGCGUGAAGGAUGAAGUAUUUCGGUAUGUAAACUUCGAAAGAAUAGGAAGAAUAAAUGACGGUACUAUUUAUAAGGUCCGGCUAACUACGUGCCAGCAGCCGCGGUAAUACGUAGGGACCAAGCGUUGUUCGGAUUUACUGGGCGUAAAGGGCGCGUAGGCGGCAAUUCAAGUCAUCUGUGAAAUCUCCGGGCUUAACUCGGAACGGUCAGAUGAUACUGCUUUGCUAGAGUGCAGAAGGGGCAAUCGGAAUUCUUGGUGUAGCGGUGAAAUGCGUAGAUAUCAAGAGGAACACCUGGGGUGAAGACGGGUUGCUGGGCUGACACUGACGCUGAGGCGCGAAAGCC
rnacentral:rRNA from 1 species